rnacentral:rRNA from 1 species
UACGAAGGGUGCAAGCGUUGUUCGGAUUUAUUGGGCGUAAAGGGUGCGUAGGCGGAAUAACAAGUCAGGUGUGAAAUCUCGGGGCCCAACCCCGAAACUGCGCCUGAAACUGUUACUCUAGAAUCUCGGGGAGGGAAGAGGAAUUUCACAUGUAGGGGUAAAAUCCGUAGAGAUGUGAAGGAACACCGGUGGCGAAAGCUUCUUCCUAAACGAUGAUUGACGCUGAGGCACGAAAGCGUGGGGAGCAAACAGG